rnacentral:rRNA from 1 species
GAUGAACGCUGGCGGUAUGCUUAACACAUGCAAGUCGAACGGUGCUUUAGGGCACAGUGGCGGACGGGUGAGUAACGCGUGAGAAUCUGGCUCUAGGUCUGGGACAACCACUGGAAACGGUGGCUAAUACCGGAUGUGCCCUUAGGGGUGGAAGGUUAACUGCCUGGAGAUGAGCUCGCGUCUGAUUAGCUAGUAGGUGU